rnacentral:lncRNA from 1 species
UUAGGAGCAAGACGCCAUAAAAUUCUUAUGGCAUGGCAGUUUUGCCAUGGCGGGUUAUGGCGGCCGCCAUAUCCACGGCGCCAUGGCGGCCAUGGCGGGAUAUGGCGGAAAUUUGGCCCAUGACCCGCUUUACGGGCGGGUCAACCCGUUGACCCGACCCUUUGACCCUUUGACUUAGUUAAAUUAGGUUUAAAAAUUAGGGUUUUAACAUUAUAGUAGCCUCCAAAGUUCAAACUUGAAAUUGCUCUGCGCCGCCUCCUCUGAUUUUCGGACCGGCGACCACUGCUCCGGCGACGCACCGGCGACCCACUGCUCCGGCGAGCUCCGGCGAUCUCCGGCGACCUCAGGUAGGUUCUUUUUUUUUGGUUUUUUUAGUUAUUUUUCGUUUUUUAGUUGUUUUUCUAAUUUUUUACAGCAGUUUAUUUCAUUUAAACACUAGAUUAUUUUGAUUAUUUCAUAUUUUCUGAAAUUUUUCAAUUUAAGAUCAUGAUUACAAAUUUAGUUGUCAUUUUUUUUAUUUGUAAUCUUCCAAUUUUUAAUUUUUAACAGUAGAUUAUUUCUUUUUUCUUUUCUAACAUUUUUAAUUUCUAACAGUAGGUUUGCUCCUUUGGAGAUGAUGAAGAUGAUGACUACGUGGAUGUUGAUGAGGAGG